CGCGUAGGCGGUUUGGUAAGUCGGGUGUGAAAGCCCCGGGCUCAACCUGGGAAUUGCAUUCGAUACUGCCUGGCUAGAGUAUGGUAGAGGGAAGCGGAAUUCCGGGUGUAGCGGUGAAAUGCGUAGAUAUCCGGAGGAACACCAGUGGCGAAGGCGGCUUCCUGGACCAAUACUGACGCUGAGGCGCGAAAGCGUGGGGAUCAAACAGGAUUAGAUACCCUGGUAGUCCACGCCCUAAACGAUGAGAACUAGCCGUUGGAGGAGCUUUGUCCUUUAGUGGCGCAGCUAACGCGAUAAGUUCUCCGCCUGGGGAGUACGGCCGCAAGGUUAAA
rnacentral:rRNA from 1 species